rnacentral:sRNA from 1 species
GAUUUGCGUUAAGGAUGGGAGUGGAAAUCCUUUUCAUUUUUUUUGUUUCAAAAAAUAAAAAGAUUGAGAAUGGACAGCCUGACCACGC